GCCCACGGGUGGAGCUGGACGCGCGCCGCCGGCCGGGACGGUGAGGCGGAUGGUCGCCGCCACUGGCCGUCGGGUCAGGAUCUCUUUGAGCGUCGUCAUGGAUUCGUGCUGUUUUAGUGAGAGAGAGAGUCUAAGAGAACCAAGAAAAUGCAGAAAAUUUACCGAUUGCGAGGAGGAGGAGUGGACGCUUGCGAGGUGGAGUUGUGAACGCCUACGCCAGACGGUGUUCGUCCGUGAGAGAGAGAGAGAGA